UACGUAGGUGGCGAGCGUUUGCCGGAUUUACUGGGCGUAAAGAGCGCGCAGGCGGUCGUGCAAAGUCGCGUGUGAAAGCCCCCCGGCUCAACUGGGGAGGGUCACGCGAUACUGCUCGACUCGAAGGCAGGAGAGGGAAGUGGAAUUCCCGGUGUAGUGGUGAAAUGCGUAGAUAUCGGGAGGAACACCAGUGGCGAAGGCGACUACCUGGCCCUUCUUGACGCUGAGGCGCGAAAGCUAGGGGGAGCGAACGGG
rnacentral:rRNA from 1 species